AAGCUAUUUGAACAGUCACACCUUCUUGAUGACCACGGAUGAACUGGCGUCGAUCGAAGGUGAUGAGGAAGGUCGGGUUUGCCCCGGCCUUUUUUGUU
rnacentral:sRNA from 1 species